GGUGUUUGAAGCAGUAAUUUACUUCGAUCUUUAAUGUCACCACCGAUAUGGUAUGGGAGGCCACAAUUCGCAAACGAAACAAAACUUCCGCGUUCGAACAUGAUGAUCUCGGCGUCUUCACUGAGUCGUCGAGCUCGCGCCGCUGCAGAAGCGCCUCCAGCAACACCAC
rnacentral:antisense_RNA from 1 species